rnacentral:lncRNA from 1 species
UUUAAGAAUGGGUACCAUGUGAAGUAAUGGUCCUAUAAUGUACCUUAAAUGCAUAGCUGUAGAGAGGUACCAUGUGGAGGUACAGUCCUACGAUAUACCUUAAAUGCAUAGCUGUAAAGAGGUACCAUGUGGAGGUACAGUCCUAUGAUAUACCUUGAAUGCAUAGCUGUAAAGAGGUACCAUGUGGAGGUACAGUCCUAUGAUAUACCUUGAAUAUAUAGCUGUAAAGAUGUACCAUGUGGAGAUACAGUCCUAUGAUAUACCUUGAAUGCAUAGCUGUAAAGAGGUACCAUGUGGAGGUACAGUCCUAUGAUAUACCUAGAAAGCAUAGCUGUAAAGAGGUACCAUGUGGAGGUACAGUCCUAUGAUAUACCUUGAAUGCAUAGCUGUAUGUAUCAUGUUGUCAUACUGUAUUGAUUUUGUUUUAUGAAAGGGCAUUUGUUCAUGGAAUUUUUUGUGUGGCAGAUAAAAAUGCUCCAUUGCAAUAUUUAGAUAUUUCAUAAUAUAUUUUGUGUUCAACUCCCACUGUUACAAAGUUUGUGUUCUAUCAACCCUGGAAUGACAGAACAUUUAUAAUAUAAAAUGCCAGGCUUUUAUUGGUUUACAUUUCAUCAACUGCACAGCCUUCCCUGCUAAAACAUUUGUGUCACGCUUAUGUUCAACACACACGACUGUUGCUGUCUGAUUUAAUAAAGUUCUUGAAAAAAUCAUUUCCCUUCUGUUUCUCCUACGUGGAUUGACAUUAUUCUUUCAAUGUUCUAGAUUCAACAAAAGAACCCUCUCCCCGCCUGGUUUUUUUUCACUUGUGUUAAAAUCCUAUCAACGUUCAUUUUUGUAUUUUGUCCUCAUAGUGUCCAUGGUGGCUCUGAAGAAACCAAAGUUAAUAUGUUUUUAAAAUAUUUCUCAUCUUUGUAAUGUUUCCUUGAAUUGUCUCUCAUCUGUAACAUGUCCUUCUAAUGUUAUUAUCUCUGUACUGUCCUCUUGUAAUGUCUCCCUCGUCUCCGUGCUGUCCUCCUGUAAUGUCUCUUGUCUCUGUACUGUCCUCUUGUAAUGUCUCCCUCGUCUCUGUGCUGUCUUCCUGUAAUGUCCCUUGUCUCUGUGCUGUCUUCCUGUAAUGUCUCUUCAUCUCUGUAGUAUUUUCUCGUAAUGUCCCUUGUCUCUGUACUGUCCUCUUGUAAUGUCCCUCAUCUCUGUACUGUCCUCCUGUAAUGUCCCUUGUCUCUGUACUGUCCUUUUGUAAUGUCCCUCAUCUCUGUACUGUCUUCCUGUAAUGUCCCUUGUCUCUGUACUGUCCUCUUGUAAUGUCCCUCAUCUCUGUACUGUCCUCCUGUAAUGUCUCUUGUCUCUCCUGUAAUGUCCCUCAUCUCUGUACUGUCCUCCUGUAAUGUCCCUUGUCUCUGUACUGUCCUCUUUUAAUGUCUCCUUCAUCUCUGUACUGUCCCUUGACUCUGUAAUGUCUCCCUCAUCUCUGUACUGUCCCUUGACUCUGUACUGUCCUCUUGUAAUGUCUCCCUCAUCUCUGUACUGUCUUCCUGUAAUGUCUCUUCAUCUCUGUAGUAUUUUCUCGUAAUGUCCCUUGUCUCUGUACUGUCUUCCUGUAAUGUCCCUUGUCUCUGUACUGUCUUCCUGUAUUGUCUCUUCAUCUCUGUAGCAUUUUCU